ACAGCUGAAUGAUAGUCGGGCUGAAGACUCUACUUGACUAGCUGAGAGAGGUGCAUGGGCCGUCGUCAGUUCGUACUGUGAAGCAUCCUGUUAAGUCAGGCAACGAGCGAGACCCACGCCAACAGUUGCCAGCUCGUCCUCCGGGAUGGUGGGGACACUGUUGGGACCGCCUCUGCUAAAGAGGAGGAAGGAAUGGGCAACGGUAGGUCAGCAUGCCCCGAAUUAUCUGGGCUACACGCGGGCUACAAUGGGUGGGACAAUGGGUAUCGACACCGAAAGGUGAAGGCAAUCUCCUAAACCCAUCCGUAGUUCGGAUUGUGGGCUGCAACUCGCCCACAUGAAGCUGGAAUCUGUAGUAAUCGUGUCUCAAAAUGGCACGGUGAAUAUGUCCCUGCUCCUU
rnacentral:rRNA from 1 species